UACGGGGGGGGCAAGCGUUGUUCGGAAUUACUGGGCGUAAAGGGCUCGUAGGUGGCCAACUAAGUCAGACGUGAAAUCCCUCGGCUUAACCGGGGAACUGCGUCUGAUACUGGAUGGCUUGAGUUUGGGAGAGGGAUGCGGAAUUCCAGGUGUAGCGGUGAAAUGCGUAGAUAUCUGGAGGAAUACCGGUGGCGAAGGCGGCAUCCUGGACCAACACUGACACUGAGGAGCGAAAGCCAGGGGAGCAAACGGG
rnacentral:rRNA from 1 species